GCUCCAUUUCUGUUCGCUAGGUGGGUCCUCACUGGAGCACUGCCAGGCAGGAAAGACAUUCUUGAGGACCCAAGUGGAACUCGUCUAUAUCCAAGAUAUCAGACCAGCUUUGCUGAUGUGACAUUCCUAUGGCAGAGUGAGGUGGCUGAGACAGUGGGUGCAGACCAUGGUGUAAACUUGCAGCUGGUGUGGAUGCCAGUUGUCCUCAGUUGUGCCUUGCUUGGCAUAUCCUGUGAGCACUGACUCGGGACUGCUUUGCCUAGAGGAAGGUAGGUCCUGAUUUACCUCUCAGCCAGAGUUGCCCUUUCUCGACCCAUAGGUUGCUGGGAAGGUCUGGGCCUCAGGGCUCUGAGGGUGGGGUUCAGAGCAGACUGGGGGAAGGACCUGAACAAGUAAUAAAUAUUCUGCUGGGUGCCUUCAUUCAUAUGCUAAGG
rnacentral:lncRNA from 1 species